rnacentral:rRNA from 1 species
UAGUCCACGCCGUAAACGAUGGUCACUAGCUGUUCGAACUUCGGUUUGAGUGGCUAAGCGAAAGUGAUAAGUGACCCACCUGGGGAGUACGUUCGCAAGAAUGAAACUCAAAGGAAUUGUCGGGGGCCCGCACAAGCGGUGGAGCAUGUGGUUUAAUUCGAUGAUACGCGAGGAACCUUACCAGGGCUUAAAUGUAGAUUGACAGGUUUAGAGAUAGACUUUUCUUCGGACAAUUUACAAGGUGCUGCAUGGUUGUCGUCAGCUCGUGCCGUGAGGUGUCAGGUUAAGUCCUAUAACGAGCGCAACCCCUGUUGUUAGUUGCCAGCAUGUAAAGAUGGGAACUCUAACAAGACUGCCGGUGCAAACCGCGAGGAAGGUGGGGAUGACGUCAAAUCAUCACGGCCCUUACGUCCUGGGCUACACACGUACUACAAUGGUAGGUACAGAGAGCAGCCACUGCGCGAGCAGGAGCGAAUCUACAAAACCUAUCACAGUUCGGA